GGUAAAAUGGCUGAAUUUACAGUAAUAAAUUGUAAAUUUAUUUAUGAAACUUAAUGUUUCUUUUAUCA
rnacentral:tRNA from 1 species